CAGGUCCUCCCCGUCCUCCAGCUCCUCAAAGUCGGUAGGCUUCCCGUCGCCCAGCGGAGGAGGCUCCCUCUCGGCCGCCAUCUUCGCUCGCCAGGACGACUGAGCGAGGGUCCUCGCGGACCCGUCACGAGGUGAAGUCCUCGGCCCGUCUCGGCCGAGCCAGAGUUCUGAGCAGGAUCCCCUCCGCAGUGGCCGAGGCCCUCUUGAACGCCAGGGUGUUGUCGGUCCAGCACAGCCCUUGAAUCCACUUGCAACUUGGCCAGGUGCCUCUGACUCAAGAUUCUUCACUUGGCUACAAUCAGGAUAACCACCAGUACUGCAGUCAUCUCAGGCCUCAUCGGGGAGAGACCCUGCUUCCUAGCUCACCUGUGGAUGGCAACAGGCCUCAAGCAUGCUGGCUGUGGACCGAAGACCUGACUUCCUCUCUCAUACAGCAAGUCACCUUUCAUCUUGCUUACCUCAGAAAAAAGACUAUGAGAAAGACAAAAUGAAAACUCUAAGAAAGACAGAA